AACCACAACCAAAAACCAGAGAAGAAAAGCGGUCAUUUGAAACACGCCUUUAAUCUUCACACCCAUUGCGAAAGGUUGCAGAGCCGUCGUCACUAUUGCCGGCUCCGGCAAGGAUAUUGGAAUACUACUCUUCUAGUCUUUUGAUAUUGAAAGAAUUUACUGUUGGAGUUGUUUGAAUUUGCGUUCGAGCUCCGGUCAGCGGUUUCAGUUGAAACGUUUUGUUGCUCUCUGUUUCGCAAUUCAAACUCGAUCUUACUGUUGCGAGUAAAGUCUCUCAUGGCAUUCGAGUAACUCGUGCACAUCGGCCAGGGAGCUUGAAGAAUUGUUCGUUUGCUGCUGUUCAAAGCUUGAACUUCAGUCUUGAGUUUCAAACCUUCAUGUGUUCAUUCUUAUCCGAUUUUGUUACUAUGUAUUGAAUAUUCACUCGUUCUCUUGCUUUGAAUUCAUGAACAAAAAUUCUGUUUGUUUGUGCUGUACUUGCUUAUGCUUUUAUAAAUAUGGCAUUUUAGCCAUAAAAAUUGUUUAGGAUUCUGUAUUGUUUAAUCUGCGGCAUUAUUAAUUUUUGUUUUAGUUCAUUGUUCAUGUCGCCUUCAUAUUCGAUGUUCUAGAUUUAGUUGUUUAUUCAUCUAAGUUUAUGCUAAAAUUCUUCUCUGUUAACUCAUGGCAUUGUUGGUAUGUUUCGGAUGAAAUCAGAAUUAAAAUGGAAGGGAUGAGUUUUGUUUGGCUGUUAGUUAAAGUAACUAUAUCUAUGUCUAUAGUUGCAUGACCCCAAGAUCCACCACAUCUAUCGAGAGCAAAACGGUGUGGCAGACUGUUUGGCUAGAAAUGAAACAACUCUUGUGGAGACAAAUUCUGUAUUAUUUUCAAAUCCUUCAAGUUUUAUCUUACCUUUUUAUCAGCGGGAUCAUAAAGGAAAGUUGUGUACAAGGUUAUGUAAAUUAACGGAUGUAGUAGUUGCUAGUAUUGGUAAUGGCAAUAUUAGUA
rnacentral:lncRNA from 1 species